GGGGCUGUAGCUCAGUGGCAGAGCAUCUGCUUGCCACACAGAAGGUCCCAGGUUCAAUCCCUGGCUUCUCCA